GACGAACGCUGGCGGCGUGCUUAACACAUGCCAGUCGAACGGAAAGGCCUGCUUUCCCUUGUGGAUUGCGGGUACUCGAGUGGCGAACGGGUGAGUAACACGUGAGUGAUCUGCCCCCAACUUGGGUAUAAGCCUGGGAAACUGGGUCUAAUUCCCGAUAGGACUGCAGGGUGGUGCCUGUGGUGGAAAACGAUUUUCUAGUGGUUGGGGAUGAGCUCGCGGCCUAUCAGCUUGUUGGUGGGGUAAUGGCCUACCAAGGCGGCGACGGGUAGCCGGCCUGAGAGGGUGGACGGCCACAUUGGGACUGAGAUACGGCCCAGACUCCUACGGGAGGCAGCAGUGGGGAAUAUUGCACAAUGGCGGAAGCCUGAUGCAGCGACGCCGCGUGGGGGAUGACGGCCUUCGGGUUGUAAACUCCUUUCGACCGCGAGGAAGCCACCUGGUUGGAAGGGUGGUGACGGUAGUGGUAGAAGAAGCACCGGCUAACUACGUG
rnacentral:rRNA from 1 species